rnacentral:rRNA from 1 species
AAAACUUUUAACAACGGAUCUCUUGGUUCUGGCAUCGAUGAAAGAACGCAGCGAAAAUGCGAUAAGUAAUGUGAAUUGCAGAAUUCAGUGAAUCAUCGAAUCUUUGAACGCACAUUGCGCCCGCCAGCAUUCUGGCGGGCAUGCCUGUUCGAGCGUCAUUU